AGUGCAAUUGCUAGUUUAUAUGGCAGUUACAUAUUUUGUGUUUUUUUUUUAAAGAAAAUGUCAGUCUGUUUUCCAGAGUGGUUCUAUCUUUUAUAUUUCCAUCAGCAAU
rnacentral:pre_miRNA from 1 species